UAUUGGUAUUUGUUGCAUGCGAAGAUAUCGAUAGGCGAGACCCUAGAAGCGCUGAGAGGAAGGUAUUUUUUUGAACAGAGUGGCAGGGCCAAAAUUUAAGGGGAAAGGUUAGCGAAGAGUGGCCACCUGGUCCUGGAGAGUUAGAGUUCCGCGCGCUCUCCGGAGCCGUUGUGAGAGGAUUUCCGAUCUCAGCCCAUAACGGAGUCCCGAAGCCAACUCACCCACACCCAAAAGAAAAGAGAGCCGCCAGCAGCCCGAAUCAGGCCAUGCCCUUGAACCUAGUUCAAGGGCGAUAGAAGAGAGAGCCAUGGGGAUCGGCAGCCGGGAGCAUUAAACAGAACAUCCAAGAGGGGGUUCAGAAAGAAAAAUUCCCGCAACGGAGGAGCAUGCGCGCCGGGCACAGUGACUUAGCGAUUUUUUUGUGUUCUGAAAGAAAAAGGGAUACAGAUCAGGGAAAGACCAGGAACCAGGACCAGGAAGCAUAAGAGGAAUAGGUCACAGCUCCGCCACCCUGGCCUGUUGUUCCUGCUGGUCUCGAAGGAUCAGACCUGGCCACGUAGUGCGGG
rnacentral:sRNA from 15 species